rnacentral:lncRNA from 1 species
UUAAAAAUUUUCAAAAAUGAUAAUUUUAACUACCGAUGUGAUGCGUUUGUGAAUUUAACAAUGUAAAAUAAUCCAAAUUUAAUAAAAUUUUUAUAGAAAAUUUUUUUUACUAUUUAGGGUAAGAUCAGUGCAUCUAUCUUAAAUUCAAGUUUUUCAUCAUCAUUUCUUAUGAGAUUUUUAUUUUCAGCCAUUUAUUUUUAGAUUACUCGUUUGAUAGGUAAAUGAUACCGAAAAAUUAUGAAAUUUAGUUUUCAAAUACUUAAAAAAUGAACGGCUGAAAAUAAAUAUUCUUUUAAAAAUAAUGAUAGGAGUCUUGUAAUCAAGAUCAAGAGUAUAAAUCUUGUUUUAAAUAGUUUAAAAAAUUUUCUAACAAAAAUUCAAUUGAUUUGAAUAUUUUUACACCGUUAAACGAGAAAACGUCUCAUAUCAAUCAUUAAAAUUACAAAUUUUAAAACUCUUUGAUCACCAGGCAAAUGAUGUCGAAAAUAUUUGAAAUUUGAUUUCUAAAUAUUUCAAGUGGUAUAGAUCAUGCUCAACGGUGCCAAUCAUCGAUUUGGAAGCUCUAUCAUCGAAAACAAAUGAGUGGCAACAAAACCCGUUUGCUAUCGAUAUAUAGUAUUCUUGCUCAACUCUCUCUCUCUCUCUCUCUCUCUCUCUCUCUCUCUCUCUCUCUCUCUCUCUCUCUCUAUAUAUAUAUAUAUAUAUAUAUCUAUAUAUAUAUAUAUAGAGUGAGGCUACUAUGCUUCUGGAUCCGUGCUUCCAAGUCGUUUUUCAUGUUGCGACUUUCGAUUCGUCGAUCAGCUCCAUUAAACUUGAUGUAGAGUAUUUGAAGUACCUAGAAAAUAAAUUAUGCGAUUUUUCGAUAUUAUUUGCCUAGUGAACGAAGGGGCUCAAAAUCAAUGGCUGAAAAUAAAAAUCUUACAAAACAUGAUAAUAUGAUAUUAAAAUUUUAGAUCAAUAAAUUUUAGAUUAAAGAUAUUGAUCUUGUUUUAUAUAGUAUAAAGAAUUUUCUAUCAAAAUUUCAUGCGAUUUGGAUAUUUCUAUACCGUUAAACUUGCAAACGGCUUAUUACGACCAUUAAAAUUAUUGAUUUUGAGCCCCUUCGAUCACUAGGCAAAUGAUAUCGAAAAAUCAUAAAAUUUAUUUUCUAGAUACUUUAAAUACUCUAGAUCAAGUUUAACGAAGCUGAUCAACGAUUCGAAAGUCACAACAUCGAAAACGACCUGGAAGCAUAGAAGGCUCCGUACUUUCAGAAGCAUAGUAGCCUCACUCUCUCUCUCUCUCUAUAUAUAUAUCAUGAGAUUAUUAUUCUAUCUAUAGUACCGGAGCAACGGUACUAUAGUCUCGUUUUCGAUCUUAAGGUAUUCAAAUCAAUAAUCCACACCGUUAAAUAUGAUCUAUUGUAUAUGAAAUUACUAGGAAAAAAAUUUUAUUUUUUUCGAUAUGGUUUACUUAGUAAGUAAAUCAUAUCAAAAUGAACGGUGAAAAUUGAAUCAUCUUUAAAUUUAAGUAUAGAACUUUUGAAUUCAAGAUUAAGGAUGUUGAUCUUCAUCUUGAUCUAGAUAGUUUAAAGUAUUUUUUUAUCAAAAUUUGAGUAAAUUUAAAUUUUUUUAC